AACGUGCUGAUAUGUGUACUGAUGGACAGCCACAAACGUCCUGUGUGUGCUGACGGACACACACAGAUAGCCACGGACAUCAUGUGUGUGCUGACGGACACACAGGGACGUCCUGUGUGUGCUGACGGACACCCACGGACGUCCUAUCUGUGCUGACGGACACACACGGACAGACACAGAUACACACGGACAGCCACGGACGUCCUGUGUGUGCUAGCCACGGACAGCCACAGAUGUCCUGUGUGUGCUGGCGGAAACCCAUAGACGUCCUGAUAGAACCCAGGACCUGGACCAGGGCGUGGAGCAGACUCAGCAUGGUGACCAGGACGAUCAGAUCAGUCCAACUGAGGUUCAGCCAUUUAGCCGUUCCAGAUCAACGGACAGAGCCGUGUACCGGAUCGACCCGCGUGCACCCGGACGUGACCUAAGGAUGGAUCCACGACCUGUUGACCAAAUCAGCCAAACCACAGGCGUUCUUCCCCGACCCAUUCGCCAUUCUAGAGCCAACAGUCAAGCCAGAACCCAUGAUCAUCGAGAAGAAUCAGAUUCCGGACUUAGCCUGUCUUUCCUGGCCCGUUUGGGACGUACCGCACGCCCGGAUCAGGCUGAUCACGACCUUUCCAACCACUUUGAUGAUUUCAUGAUGAUCAAUGCUUCCAACUACUCCAAAGGAAGGAUACUUAAGCUCUCUGAAGAUUUGGGUCGAGCUAUCUCUUCAUCCGUUCAUGGAUCAUCGACGAUCAAUCAUGCGGGCAGCCUUACGUCCGUCCUGCUCCUUACCGCGAACGACCUAAUCACCAGAGGAUGAACCUGGACGUCUUUGUGAAUCUGGACCAGUCAACACAAGAAUCCGCACCUUGACCAGUCUUUAGUCAAAGUCUUCAUUUCUAAUUUCUAUGUCUUGUUUUCAUUCAUUUCUAUUUUCUAUGUUGUCUUUUCCCACAAAUGUCUUUAUGUUUCUUUGACUCACAAACCUUAUAAGUAUGUGAUGAUCCCCCUUAAUAAAAACACAUCGAUUUUCCUUUGCUUAUUUUGAGUCUUCUCUCAUUGUUCUUUGCUUAGAACAUUCAUACUUCUCUUGGUGAGGUCAUCUCCAAGCGAACCACUUCGUUGUGUUGGACCGGUGAGUCACAUCCGGCAACCUUCGAAUCUCUGGUAGUAUCUUUGGGCUAUUCCGCAACCCUUAGUGUCACCGUUCAUACCAUCAGUUCUCUUUCCUUACGGAUCGAGUUCAUAUCCCCCUUACCGGUUGAGUGUUCGUUCCUUAGGGUUCUUCAAGUGGUAUCAGAGCCACUCUUCCGGUAACUCUAUUAUCAUUCCAUCUUCUCAUCUCUACAUCUUCUUCAAACACUUCUUCUUCUACCUUUCUUAAAUCCGGGCCCCUCAUUACCAUCCAUAUUAAAAAAAAAAAAGAUAUACGAUUUGAUUCAAAAAAAAAAAAAAAAAAAAAGUUCAAAGUUUGUUUUGUGGAUUGGUGGUGGAAGAGAAAGCCUGCUGGCUGAGGAGAAAUCCAGCCUUUGAGGUGGUUAAAACGGAUUUCAAAAAUCAAAAUCUCUUAUCUUUCUAUCUUGAGAAAAUUCCCUUUUUUGCUUGGAUUUGCCCAUUGGGAUUCUUUGAUUUGUUCUCUUAGAACAUUGAGUAGAAACUUGUGUGUGAUCACCUAAAUCUGAGAGAAACACUUGAGUGGGUGAGAAUAAAACACUUGAGAGAGUGAGGCUUUAUUUCCUAACUUUUGUGUUGAGAUUUUCAGGUUAUGAUGUUUGGUCUUCAAAGGAAAAGUAACAAGGAGAAGCACCCACGACUUUCUGUCUCUCAAACCUCCUUUAACUAUGCUUUGAAUACUUUUGAUGAGUUUGUUGAUGUGCAGGAGAAACCAAACAGGUGGAGCAAAGAGCAUGUCAAUACAUCCAAAGGUGAAUCUGAUCCAAGAAGGCGAUUGCUUCAGUUUGAUGUCCAACAAUUUUGUGAUAACUUUGUGAAGGGUGUGGACAAAGCCCUCAAGGACGUCAGCAAGAGCCAAAAGAAGAGCACAUCCACACGUGCCCCAGUAGCUGAGCCAUCCUUGUUCAUCAGUAAGAAAGCCCAAGGUGAAUCUGAAAACCAUUUUGAAGAACUUAAAGAUUUUUCAGAUUCUCUACCCAUUUUUGAUGAAUCUGAUGAAGAGCUAAUUGAAAGCUUGAUGUUUUGUGAAAAAGAUUGUGAUCUUCCUUUUCUUGAAACUGAGUUUAAUCUUGAUAAUGAACAAGCUAUUGUAGAACUAACUGUUUUGCAACCGGAGCUUCCGAGUAGUCUUGUUUUGUCUCCACAGGUUUUUGAGGAAGAGCCACUGGAUUUUCCACAUCAGUGCCCAUGUCUUGACACUAGGAAAUGUUUGGAUGAUGAUCUAGGUCCUAUCUUUGAUGAGGAGGACGAACCUGAUCCAGUCUUUGAUGAAGAAGCAACAAGCAUCACAUCCAUUGCUAUGGAGAAUUAUCUAUGCUUUGAUCCCGGCACAACUCCUGCCCCUUUACCUCCUGAUCUUCAAGAGCACUGUGAGGAACCUUCUUCUCUUUAUUCUCUGCCUGACAUGUUUGUGAAAGUCAGUACUGAUGAUAUAAUUCGUUUUGGUCUUGACAAGAUAAAAGAUUUUUGUGUUUCAAAAUCUGUUUUUGAUAACAUGAUUAAUUCUUUAAAAAUCUUUCAACCUGAUAAAUGUCUUGAUCAAUCAUGUUUUCAAAAUGUCAAUGCCAUCACUUCUGGAAUUAUUUUGAGCUUUGAUCAGUUCGUGGAACAUAACAAAGGUUUUCAUCUUCUUGGAAGGCCAUUUGAUCUUGAUUUGCAACAAACUGAUUUUUGUGCUGAAAAAUCUCUUGAUUCGUUUGUUUGCAAAGGAAAUGGCUUUGAUCUGAGUUCUUCUAGACAUGUACUGAUUACUGAUAAAUUGUUUGCAUCCUCUUAUGCCUUGGACGAAAUUUUGAUUCAGAAGUUGCUGGAACAGAAAUCACUUGAAACUAAAAAUGAUUUUCGUGAUCUUGAAUUUUGUGGUUCUGUUUUGCAGCCUGAUCUCUUGAGUUUUGAAAUUGAUAAUACUUGGCAUUUUCUGAGAUCAUUUCGUGAUAAUAGUGUUGUCUUGAGUUCUGAUGAUAUUUUGGUUUACAACACAUUCUUUGAGAAAUGCCUUGAACUUUUGAUAAAUGAUUCUCAAACUGAACUUAAGCUUGUGUGUUCAGAUGUUGGGAAGGAUAUGCCCAUUUUGAAAAUGAAUACUGUUGUUGCAUAUCUUGAUAAAAUUCUUGUCUGUAAUAUUUACUUUGAUGAGCACCUUGAAAGGCUGAAAAAUGUGCAAUUUGUUCUUGGAAAAGAUAUCUUGAUUUGUGAUUUGAACAAAUAUUUAUCUUGCACAUUUGAUCCUGGUCUUUUAGUGUUUGUUUUGAGUAUCCAGGAAAGACAAGUUCAGCCUCUGAAUGAAAGCAUUGGCCGUGCCCAACAACCUCAGAUUUGGAGAAGCUUUGUUGUUCAAACCGGCUACCUUGGUGCCAGCGACAGAGGUUCAGUCCAAGAAGGAUAUCUCAACAGUCCGAAGGUCUUUUGUCUUGAAUCCAAUUUUACAAGAAGGCCAACUCAUCAAGGAUUCACUGAGGCUUGGAAUCGCAUGUAAAUCUUCACGGAUGAGGAAGUUAUGAAUUUUCCAAACCGGAGGUUCUUCAGUCCAUCUAGGCGCGAGUACCAGAUUUCUAAAGGAGAUUCAUGGCCCAGAAAGAAUCGGCCUGAGCCAAAACCGAUCCUCCAUGAACCAAAGGUGUUUCCUCAGUCAUCCUCCUGUCUAAACCAAAAGCACUGUAAGGAUCAUGAGUUGAUUGCCUCUACUCUUCAUGAAAAUGUUUUGCAACCGAGAAUUUCAAAAAGAAAACAUAUUCUUACUUGGUUGAAAAACGUUUUGCUCAAACCUUUUCAUGAAUUGAUUUCAUUGAGCUGUGCUUUGAAAGAGAUUUGGUGCAGGAAAAAGCAUGAACUAAAAUUGCUUAGGCCAAAGAAUCAAUUUGAUUUCAUUCAUGAUAAGAAUUUUUCAGAUUUGGCAUUGUCUCUUUCUUUUCCUAACUGUUUCUCACCUUGGCCUGAUUUUGAGAUUGACAAAUCAAUUUUUGGCAACCAGCUUACUUGCUUAAUGCUUGCCCACGUCCUUGAUGAUUAUCCUAAAUGCUUGGAUUCUGUUUUUGGUGUCUUAAGGAUAGAGAAACCCUUUGAUUAUUCCUUUACCAGAUUUGAUGUGGUUUCUCUAGUUGCUUUGAAUAAACAGGAUAAGCAUGAUCAGUUUCUAAGGAGAGCAAGCACCAAUGGACGCCAAAGUACUUGGAAUUCCUUGAUGAAAAUGACUUCAAAACUCCAAGGAAGUUUCUGUCCAUAUUUUUCAUUCUCUGAAUUUUCCAUGAAUUUUAAUUCCUUUGUAUCUGAUUCAUCUCUUUUUGAUAUAGGUACUUUGGAUUUGAGGACAAAUCCUUUUGAAGAAGGAGGGAAUGAUAGAACCCAGGACCUGGACCAGGGCGUGGAGCAGACUCAGCAUGGUGACCAGGACGAUCAGAUCAGUCCAACUGAGGUUCAGCCAUUUAGCCGUUCCAGAUCAACGGACAGAGCCGUGUACCGGAUCGACCCGCGUGCACCCGGACGUGACCUAAGGAUGGAUCCACGACCUGUUGACCAAAUCAGCCAAACCACAGGCGUUCUUCCCCGACCCAUUCGCCAUUCUAGAGCCAACAGUCAAGCCAGAACCCAUGAUCAUCGAGAAGAAUCAGAUUCCAGACUUAGCCUGUCUUUCCUGGCCCGUUUGGGACGUACCGCACGCCCGGAUCAGGCUGAUCAAUGCUUCCAACUACUCCAAAGGAAGGAUACUUAAGCUCUCUGAAGAUUUGGGUCGAGCUAUCUCUUCAUCCGUUCAUGGAUCAUCGACGAUCAAUCAUGCGGGCAGCCUUACGUCCGUCCUGCUCCUUACCGCGAACGACCUAAUCACCAGAGGAUGAACCUGGACGUCUUUGUGAAUCUGGACCAGUCAACACAAGAAUCCGAACCUUGACCAGUCUUUAGUCAAAGUCUUCAUUUCUAAUUUCUAUGUCUUGUUUUCAUUCAUUUCUAUUUUCUAUGUUGUCUUUUCCCACAAAUGUCUUUAUGUUUCUUUGACUCACAAAC
rnacentral:lncRNA from 1 species